GUCUGCUCUGUGGGUUGAUUGGAAAAGGAAAACGUUGCAGAAAUGCACUGACAGGGCGGGAGAAAUUUGUCUCUUGAUUCAGAUCGGAGAUAAACUCGGAUGAACAACUAAACUUACCCCCUAAAGCGAUUUAAUUUGUCUCCAAGUAAGAAAUUCUUCAAAUAAAAAUAAAACUCAAGUUAGGAUACCCGCAAAUUGUCUAUCAAUCGCCCGCGAUGACUUUUCAACUUUUGUCAGAAGGCUCGUGUUAAACGAAGCACCUGUUCUGGCUUCCCUGCACUCCCCACGACUAUUCCCCUGAAGGACGUCAUGCGGUUUGUUCCAGCUAAAGCGGUUACAGAUCGAUCCUCAGUUCGGGCACUACAAUGUUAUGGGCGCGUGUUCGUUUGGGCUGGACAACGGUAGGCAUUAAAUUAUUAUAGUUUACAUUUACGUUUAAUUAAUUACAAAUAUUUGUUCAGAAUGCGCGAUACUGCCUCCACUGCACCGCUCUCCGCAACGGAGAAAGACAAAUUGAUAAAUGAAUGCAGUGGGAAAUUUAUGUGCAUUUUCAGUGUUAAAUGGAUGGUGUAGUCGUGGAGAAUUCACCUGUUCCACAGAUGGAAAAACACAUGUCCGCCGUUCUGGAUGAUGAUGAUGAUGAUGAUGAUGAUCAUGAACUCUCCUCGAUGGCUAUAAAUAGUUUCAGACUCACACACGAAACGCUCCUGAUUAAUGUCACCCAGUUAGUGCGAAAUUAGAUGAGAAAUUGUCAAAUGAAACAUUUAUAGCGGCUAACCCAAUAAAUUAAUAUUUAUGUGAAAAGUGACAGCCAACACAUACACACAUGGGCCACUAUCGGAUUUCA
rnacentral:lncRNA from 1 species